rnacentral:rRNA from 1 species
AGAGUUUGAUCCUGGCUCAGAACGAACGCUGGCGGCAGGCUUAACACAUGCAAGUUGAACGGGAUUUGUGUGGUGCUUGCACCAUAUAAUGAGAGUAGCGCACUGGUGAGUAACACGUGGGAACGUGCCUUUUAGUGGGGGAUAACAUCUGGAAACGGAUGCUAAUACCGCAUACGCCCUGAGGGGGAAAGAUUUAUUGCUAAGAGGUCGGCCCGCGGUAGAUUAGGCAGUUGGUGGGGUAAAGGCCUACCAAACCUACGAUCUAUAGCUGGUCUGAGAGGACGAUCAGCCACAUUGGAACUGAGACACGGUCCAGACUCCUACGGGAGGCAGCAGUGAGGAAUAUUGGGCAAUGGAGGCAACUCUGACCCAGCCAUGCCGCGUGAGUGAGAAGGUUUUCGAAUUGUAAAGCUCUUUCGGGUGUGAAGAUGAUGACGGUAACACCAGAAGAAGCCCCGGCAAACUUCGUGCCAGCAGCCGCGGUAAUACGAAGGGGGCGAGCGUUGUUCGGAAUUACUGGGCGUAAAGGGUGUGUAGGCGGUUAAGUAAGAUAGUGGUGAAAUGCCGGGGCUCAACCUCGGAAUUGCCAUUAUGACUAUUUAGCUAGAAUGAUGCAGAGGAUAGCGGAAUACCCAGUGUAGAGGUGAAAUUCGUAGAUAUUGGGUAGAACACCAGUGGCGAAGGCGAGUAUCUGGCUGUCAACUGACGCUGAGGCACGAAAGCAUGGGGAUCAAACAGGAUUAGAUACCCUGGUAGUCCAUGCUGUAAACGA